AAAAUUUCUUUCACUACUUAG
rnacentral:miRNA from 1 species